GGAGGUGCAGUUAACUAACGGGCUACCUCAGGCCUUAUAGAGCUGAGAGUCACGGAAAAGGGGAACUGCCUGCCUGAGAGGCAUCCUUUCAGCACUCUGAAACUUCAUCAGGAUCCGCAGCUAAGACAGUUGGGUGAAGACAGUUGUCUUCCUGAGAGACUCGUGGAGACCCGAAUCUGGAUUCACCAGUAUCAGUAUGUGGCUGCACUCUCAGCUCAGCGACUUGCUCGGGCCAGCCCUUUCCCAUCACAGGUCUUCCAUGGCUGGGAGCUCCUUCAGCUUCUCCUGGGACUCAGGAAGAGAAUCCAACCCCCAAGGCACAGGCGUGCACAUUCCUGGCGAUCAGCUGACCAAGGCCCACCCCAUCCUGAGGAUCUCUGUUCCUCCUGUUUUGUCUGGUUCUGUCAGGAACUAGCUCACUGGACCCUUCCUUACCUAAAGGUGGAUCCUGGCCCCUUCCUUCUGAUAGCACUGUGCUCUGUAUCUGAAAUCUACCUUUACCCACAAGGGUUCAAUAAAGCCUCCAUCCCACAACUGUCCCAGGGCUGACACUGAACAUGGAAGACCCCAGCUCAGUGCUGUGCAGCACGGGAUGCUCAGUACAGAAGAGAGCACAUGCACAGGGCUGGGGGAAUGGACCAGGAAAGACUUCAGAAAGAGCAUCUGACAUGACACCACUGUGCCGACAUGCAAUAGCUCCAGAAGGGUUAAGCAAGGCCUCGACAGCAUAGGGCUACCCUAGGACAUGGAGGGAAAGACAGAAGGCUUUAGAGGUUGAUCCUUACUCAGGGAAUUACUAGGAGUCAGUGAGUGUUCUGUUUCUUUGGGGUCCACUGAGCUGAGGACCUAGGAUGCGGAAGAAAAUUCUGACAGCUGGACAUUGCAUGUAAUACCAAAUGACCAUGAAUGAUUCUAGAGUGACUGUCCCACACCUCCCUGAGUCCAGGGCUGCCUUGUCCUGCCCAGUUUCAGGUGACCUUGAGUGGAAGGAUACCAGAAACGAGAGGUGCCUUCUUCCUCUUGCUGGGUGGCAGUGAGUCCCAGGUCUUGGAGCCGCCUCUGGCGUUCAGUCUGUCAUCCCACCACUCUGCCCAGAGAGUCGGGGUCAGGACAGUGACCCACAGCUAACUCCCACCAUCCCUGUGGCUUUACCAUGGACCAGCCAGGCCUCCCUUUUCCCCAUCACCUCCAGGGCAGUGGUCCCAACCCUGGGCUUGAGGCUGGCAGCCUCUGGGGACCACUCGGUUUUUGACUGCACACUAGUGCAGGCCCGGGAAUGGGACACUGCCCUUUGUGGGUAUGCCUCAGUUUUUCCACUCAGUACACGGAAUGAAGGGCAUUCCUGGGCCCCAUGUGAAACAGAUGUCACCGUUAUGGAGAGGACUGUGGUU